UACAGAGGAUGGCAAGCGUUAUCCGGAAUGAUUGGGCGUAAAGCGUCUGUAGGUGGCGUUUUUAAGUCCGCCGUCAAAUCCCAGGGCUCAACUCUGGACAGGCGGUGGAAACUACCAAGCUGGAGUACGGUACGGGGCAGAGGGAAUUUCCGGUGGAGCGGUGAAAUGCGUAGAGAUCGGAAAGAACACCAACGGCGAAAGCGACUCUGCUGGGCCGACACUGACACUGAGAGACGAAAGCUAGGGGAGCGAAUGGG
rnacentral:rRNA from 1 species